UACGAAGGUCCCAAGCGUUAUCCGGAAUCAUUGGGUUUAAAGGGUCCGUAGGCGGUUUAGUAAGUCAGUGGUGAAAGCCCAUCGCUCAACGGUGGAACGGCCAUUGAUACUGCUAGACUUGAAUUAUUAGGAAGUAACUAGAAUAUGUAGUGUAGCGGUGAAAUGCUUAGAGAUUACAUGGAAUACCAAUUGCGAAGGCAGGUUACUACUAAUUGAUUGACGCUGAUGGACGAAAGCGUGAGGAGCGAACAGG
rnacentral:rRNA from 1 species